GUAGAGUGAAAAUAAAGAGCAGUAGUUUUGGUGACUAUUGGUGGAACUUGAUAUUAAUAAUGGUAAUGUUUAGUAUAGAUUAUGGAAUAUCACAUUGGCGAUCCUGCCAUGAAAGGGUGUGCUGAAGAAAUUGUAAUUGGUUUUGUGAUUGAAGUGUUUUGUUUUGUCAAAUGUUAUUUUUUUUAUUGUCACCGGAGGAAGAUGAGGGUCAACGACAUUUCAAUUGAAUCUAUGGUCGCUUAUUAAUCGUACUGAAUGAAUCGACCGGCUACAACACCUACCAUACACACAACGUCAACCAUACGGACUUAAGUUAGAACCUCGUCUGCCGAUUGCAUUUCUCUGUAACAUUAAUAAUUUGGUACAUUCCUAUUUCUGUCAGGGGAGGAUGUGGUAUUCUAGAAUAACAGUGUAGAUCAGGAAGUGAGGAGUUUGAAAUAGACGUGUAUAGAGUGUCAAUGUAGAGUGAAAAUAAAGAGCAGUAGUUUUGGUGACUAUUGGUGGAACUUGAUAUUAAUAA